rnacentral:tRNA from 1 species
GCGGGCAUAGCUCAGUGGUAGAGCAUCAGCUUCCCAAGCUGAGGGCCGUGGGUUCGACCCCCAUUGCCCGCU